AUGCUGGUUGCAGUGGGCGGCGCGAGCUGGCGGCUGUUGGCGUCGGAGCACAGGCGAGGGGACCGGCGGCGGGCAGAGGCAACUGCAGCGACUGGUGCAGCGGCAGAGGGCGGAGCAGCUUGGGACGCCGGGGCGGAAGUGCAGGCGCAAGCAGCGGCGACUUCACGGGCUGUUGGUGUCGCGAUGACGUGCAGAGGCACUGCAGCAACAGGGACGGUGGUGCUGCGACGAAGGGUCUGGGGCGCGGUGACGGUUGAAUUUGGUGGAAGUCAGAUUUCCUCUAGCAGCCUUAAUUUGGGAGGAUAUAUCGAAAUGCAGACAUCGAGGGUGAGGCUGUUCAAGGAAUACAAAGAGGUGCAGCGAGAGAAGGGCGCUGAUCCGACAUUCAGUUGGUUUGCAAUGACUCAAACAUAUUUAAGUGGACUGCUCUUAUCAAGGGACCAUCGGAAACUCCUUUUGAGGGUGGUGUUUUCCAGCUCGCAUUUGCUAUACCUGAGCAGUAUCCACUGCAGCCACCUCAAGUUCGUUUCCUGACUAAGAUAUUUCACCCCAAUGUGCACUUCAAGACAGGGGAGAUAUGCCUUGAUAUUCUGAAGAAUGCAUGGAGUCCUGCCUGGACACUUCAGUCUGUUUGCAGGGCUAUAAUAGCUCUCAUGGCCCACCCUGAGCCUGACAGCCCACUAAAUUGCGAUUCAGAUCAUCAUCAAGUGCCGGUACAGGGUCCAGCUAAACUUGAUCCAAAAACGGACCUUCUCAGUGGAGAGGACUACAGCUCUCCUAAGGCAGAGACUUCACUAGCACUAGUGCCUGUUGGACACCCACAGUCAACUGCAUCUCAGUCACGGCAGAAUGGACUUGUUCUUUUCGAUGUGUUUUUGGACAGUAACAACAAGCCCAAUACUAUCAAUACCCAGAGUGGCUAUCCAACUACACAAAGCAAUUCUUCUACUCCUCAAUUCCAACAGCAGCAGAAUCUGCAAGCUCCACAACUUGGGGUUUAUGCUAAUGGCAACAUGCCAAACAUGGGAUCGAACGAGCAUGAUCAAUCACCUUAUUCUCAAAGCUCUGUUCCUGUUUGGAAUGGCCAUAUUGUGCAGCAGCAACGGCCUCCCUCUCCUGUCUAUGGUGCUCAAACUAGUGAUUCGCUACCACCACCCCCUUGGGAAGCUCAGUCAGUGGAAAACAGUCGGGUGAUGGGCAGUCAGUACCCCCAACCAAUGCAAGGUUCAGAGGUGGUCGUCCUGCAUGCACAACCUGCACUGAGUGGAUUGCAUCUCCAGGCACCUUAUCCAAUGGGGAAUGAGCAAGCGAUGGACAUGUACUUGCAACCAGUUGCAGGUGGCCACAUGCCAUUGCUGAAUAGCCAGGUUGUUCCAAUAAACCAAAUGGUAGGACUUACCACCUCAGCCCAUCCAAGGAGGUCCUUAUGUGGGGAUGGUUCCUCUGCCAAUGCAAGUAGAUCAGAUGGCUUAUUUAUAUCCCCAGCAAAUGUAUGGCAGCCAGGUGGCAGCCUACGGCUAUGGCCAACAAGGUGCUCAGUACCUUGAUCAGCGGAUGUAUGGGCUGUUGGUUAGAGAUGACAGUAGCCUCAGGAACUCUUCAUACCAGGUGUCCACUUCAUCGUACAUGCCACCCAUGAAGCCUUUGAAGCCAGAGGACAAGCUAUUCGGAGAUCUCGUUGAUAUUUGCGAACCAUGUUUUGCUUGUUAA